CUAUCAUGAGUAGUUAAUAUCGUUCUUAAUCCAAUUUUUACGUUUUCCAAACUAAUUUCACGACUGAAAGCUCGAUAUUGAGACUUUUUUUAAAAACAACCAAUCUGUCUAGUCAAAAUCAAGAAAAUACAUGAUGCAUGCAGUAAAACUAUUGCAUGCAAAGCAUUGCUUUUCUUCACGUUCGCACUUCUUACAGCGCUCAUCUACACAUGCAAAAAUCUCAUAACUUAUCAACAAGAUGUGUUCGCAACAGGCUUGUAGCAAGCUUGUCAACAAGUUGUAACAAUGCUGUUAUUUUAUCAAGUUGCUACAAGGUUGUCAUUCACAACUUGUUGGCAAAUUGUUGAAUUGCAGGAUGACAACAAGUUGUUGGAACA